AAUUUUUAGCUUUUUUGAUUGCCUUCUUCUACUUUUAUUCUUCUUUUGACAAUGAUAAAUAAUUCCAUUAUAUUGCAGUUUUGCCCUUGGAUCUUGGUUUACCUCCAUGGAUUUAUAGUUACGUGAAUAUUCUAGAACAAGUAGUCCUCUAGAUUUCCCCAAAUGCCCUGAGACUGAUAUAAGAAGCGUCCUAAAAUUGACCUGAACCUAAGUUUUCAAAAAUAUAAAAUAAUAUAAAGCAGUUGUGAUUAAACUUGUCUACACAGUAGAAUCACCUUGAGAUCUCUAAAAUGCCAAAGCCCAGGCCAUAUCCCAAACCAAUUAAAUCACUGUUUCUCAGGAUGGGACAUGGUGUCAGGAGCACUUUAACUCCCCUGGUGAUUCCAAUUUGUAGACAAGCUUGGGAACCACUCACCUAGACAACUGUGUUACUUGAGGAUUCUGAGUGGGCACAGCCAUGGCAUGUUCUCCUCCACUACCCAGCCCUGCCCUUGGUGAAGUGUUCUCUGCUAUCCGGCUUCUCCAUCAUCUUCUUCCACCUGAUUCGUAGAGACCUCUGGACACCUGAGCCCAAGCAGGGCCACUAAGUGAGAGGGAAUUCCAUACUGAAAAGCAACAAUGAAUGUAUCAAGGACCCCAGAUGGGUAUAAAAUAGAUUAUGGCAAAUUUUGUAAAGUAAUUGUUAUCAUCUUUUUUCCUGAUAGCAAAAGUUUUAUGUCAAAGAUUUUUCUCUUCCAUUUUUAGUUUUUUAUGCAGUUAGUUUUAGGAAACUCCGAUCUGUUAAGAUGACAUUGUUUUUCAUGCUUUGGGCGAUUGUUUUAGAAUUCCUUGUUUGAGUUGAGCAACUUUAAAAUAUCUAACUAGGGGGUAUUAUGUGUGCUGAGUGAGAAUUGUUCAUUUGCCUUCUUUAAAGAAACACAAUUUGACACAAAACAUAGGUAUUUAAAUUUUUAUUUUCUGUGUAUACACAGCACAUUACUUAUUUAUUUAAGCAACCACUGGCUGUGCAAAAACUGAGGGAAACAUGAGUUUAACAAUUGUUUACCAUAGCCUUUAUCACAACUCAGAACUCUGGCAUUGUACAAAUAAUCACAUAUUGCCUUAUAAAAUUAGAAAACUAAUCCAGUAAAAUAAUGAUUUUGCUCUCUGUAUCUCAGGAGAGAUAAAUUAAAGGAAAUAUUUUAAUUGAAGCUGCUAGGUGGUUGUGAUUAUCUGAAUAGGUACAAUCUUGACUUUAAUGAAUUAACAGGUAAGCUUCUUUCUAUGAGGUUGGUGCUAAAGUAAUUGCAGUUUUUGGUAAUUGCACCAACCUAAUAGAAGUACUUCAUUAAUUUUAAACCAUAUUUUAUGUAGAAACCAUUUAUACUUAAUUUCUGGACUUGUGUUUAAUUAAAAUAAUAUAUGCUAAUAUGUGGAAAUCUAGAUCCUGCUGUUACUUUGAUCAUCUCUUUUCUGCCACUAACUGCCACUGAGGAGUGGAAAAAGAAGGCACAUAGCUAUAAUCUAAUUUCAAAUAAUAUUUGUCAAGGAAGACGUUUGGUUGGAAAAUGCAUGGCUUUUUUUUUUUUAACUCAGAUUUUAUUUCAUAAGUGAUGAGUGAGGGCAGAGUGUGGAAAAAAAUGAGACUACAUGUCUGUCUCAUGAUAAACAAAAGCCUGAGAUGUUACAGUUAGUAAAAUCACUUUUUUCAUUCAAAGAUUUUGGAUAAAUCAUUAUUAAGGAAACUAAGGACAACUGUGGUGUGGAAUCAGAUAGUUUGAACCCCAGUUACUCACAAAUGUAAAGUGAUAUUUUUAUCCCUCCUUUUUAAAAAUGCUUUUUCAAAAUAUAAGAAGUUUACAUUUUGUCCUACAUCACACUGGCUUCUGCUCCCACGGAAAAUGUUACAUGCUGUAUGUCCGUUUUCAUUUCAUUAAAAGUGAAAGUAAACAUGGUAUGUAUAAGCCAAAUAGUAACUAAUCCUGACAUAAUUUCAGUAUUAAAUGAGGCUUGGAAUAUGUAUUUGAAUGGGCAUGAUGGUUUGGGAAACUCUAAUUUAGUGACACCCCAUUUAUAACAGUGAUAUGAGGAACAGGGUUACUAGUUAUGGUCUGUAUUUGCUCUGUCAUAGCAUGUUCUUACAGCAUGUAAUUUUAUUUGAAGAAAUAUCCUUUGAGCCAUAGUAUUUUGGAGACAAGUAUUAGGCUACAAUAUAGACAUCAUUUAAGUAAAAUAAUGUAACUUUAUAAGAUUGGUCUAUAUCUCUGUCUUUUAUCCUCCCCCCUUGCAAAAGUCAUUCCUAUUCACCUUAUUUUAGAAACAAGAGAAAGUAUAACUCAGGCUGAAAUAAAGCACCAACCUAAAAAGAGAUGCCCAUUUUCAUUUAGUGUUUAUCUUUGCCAGAAUAAAGAGAAACAAAUAAUUAUUUUGCCUUUAAGGCCUUGAUUCUGAAUGAUAGAUUAAGUAGACAGACUGUUGACCACAUGCACUUAAGCAGUAUUGUUAAUUAUUUUACCAAGCUUUGGAUCAAGGUUUGCUUGAAAUAAGCUGUGCUGUGGAUAAACCUUUGGAUAAUAAAGUGAGCUGUAUUGCCUUUAUUUUUUGCACCAGAACAUUACUAGGUGGUAUUGAUUUUGAAAAAUAAAAUUUAAUUUUCUGAGAACAUAAAUCAGAUUCCGGUAUUUUUAUCUUCUUCUUCUUUUUUUCCUUUUUUCA